CAGUCGCCGCGGUAAUACAGAGGAUGCAAGCGUUAUCCGGAAUGAUUGGGCGUAAAGCGUCUGUAGGUGGCUUUUCAAGUCCGCCGUCAAAUCCAAGGGCUCAACCCUGGACAGGCGGUGGAAACUACCAAGCUGGAGUACGGUAGGUGCAGAGGGAAUUUCCGGUGGAGCGGUGAAAUGCGUUGAGAUCGGAAAGAACACCAACAGCGAAAGCACUCUGUUGGGCCGACACUGACACUGAGAGACGAAAGUUAGGGGAGCAAAUGGGAUUAGAUACCCCUGUAGUCCCUGUCUCUUAUAC
rnacentral:rRNA from 1 species